CUGUACUGAUUGUGUAAAAAUAUAUUUGUAUAUAUAUAUAUACACAUAUAUGAAUAUAUAUGUGUGUGUGUAUGUGUAUACAUAUUAUAUUUA
rnacentral:miRNA from 1 species